UCCAGAAGGACCUACUUUAGAUGCAAGGUUAGAUGGCUAGAAUUGUCAAACAUACAGCUCUACCAUAAAAUUACUGAUGUGACUGGACUGGUGGAGCAAUAUUAGGUAUGACUUCAGAGCAUCACUGUUUGGCACCAGUGUUUGAAGUUCAUUGUGACACAUGUAUCUUUGAUUCUCAUAACCAAACUGAACACAGUGCCUACACACAAUGGAAGCAACUUGGUGCAAAAGAACCUAAACAUCUUCAUGAUUGGCUGGAAACAAAUCAUUUAACCAUCAACGUCAAGAAGACUGAAUUCUGGUGUUGGUGUCUUGUACUCCUGUUGUUUUAUGUGCUGCAGAACAGGAACCUGCUGAAAACCAGCUGAAGCUGAGCCAGGCCCUUUAAACUGUAACUGUCUGUUACUUUUAAAAAUUCCUGUAUAAUAAAUGAAAUGAAAUGAAAAUGAUUAUGCCCCCCUUGAAUGUCUCUACCAGUGUA